ACAAGAACCCAGUGAGGGAGGAUCCAUGGGCGCUGAGGUGGGAAUCUAGGGAGGCUGAGGGAGGAUCUGUGGGGAUGACGGAAGUUCAAGGGGGGCUGAAGAGGCACGCAGCGGGCUGAGGAGGACCUGAGAGGCUGAAGGAGGAUCCGAAAGGCUGAUACAGCGGGGCUGAGGGGGGAUCCGCGGGGUUGGCGGGGGCUGAGAAAUGACCCUGUAGUUCACAGCAAAAUGGAGUAAUUUAUGUCACAACGUAACCAAAAUGGAGUGGGGAGGGCCCUAAGGAAGCAGCUGUCACGCAUUUCUGAAAUGCCAGAGAGGCUCGCUAUUACCUUGUAAACAGAGCUUAUUCCGGGCAUUUCCACUGGCCUGCAGUAUUCCAGAUGAGAUGUUUGGACCAGGGCAGGCAGAUAGCAUCGCCUAUCUGCCUCAGCGAACCAGGGUCACUUUGUGCAAUGAGUUCAUGAGACCAGGGCCUUUGUUUUGUGAAAGUUACAAAUAAGGAGUGAAAUCACUUUGUCAGGCCCAGACAAACAGGGCUGGGAAGAACAGGAGGCUCAGGCUUAGUGUCUGAGAUAAGAAUUAUUCGCAAGGACUUUCUAAAAACCCCACAAGAAACCCUUUUGUGUCAUUCACGGGUCUCCUACUUUGACAAAAUUUAGACCAUCUUUAGGACUGCAGUAAUUCAGUUAAGAUGCUCGGAAUAAACACUUGCCCAGUAAUGGCAGCGCCACCAAUGAACUGAGGACAACUUUGAGCUUUGGCGUUGGGCCCCUGGAACCAAUGAACUCUUUCUAAGCAGCUUCUGUGAACCGCUCCCUUUUCGCUGAUAAAAGUUCCCUUUUCACUGAUAAAAAGUUCCCUUUACCCUUCCCUCACUGGGAAUGCUGGUGGCUUGCUGCUGUUGAUGAAAAGAGUCAAACUUUGUAAAAUAUUUUAAGAGAUAUAUUCUGAGCCAAAUAUGAGUAACCAUGGCCUGUGACACAGCCCUCAGGACAGAGGUCCUGAGAACAUGUUCCCAAGGUGGUUGGGGUGCAGCUUGGUUUUAUACAUUUUAGGGAGGCAUGAGACAUCAAUCAAAUACAUUUAAAACCUACAUUGGUUUGGUUCAGAAAGGCAGGACAACUCGAAGCAGGGGUCAAGGGUGCUGGCUUCCAGCUUAUAGGUAGAUUGAAAAAUUUUCUGUUUGACAAUUGGUUGAAUUUACCUGAAGACCUGGGAUUAACAGAAAGGAAUGUCUGGGUUAAGAUAAAAGAUUGUGGGUGGGGUGCAGUGGCUCACACCUGUAAUCCCAGCACUUUGGGAGGCUAAGGCAGGCGGAUCACGAGGUCAGGAGUUCGAGACCAGCCUGACCAACAUGGUGAAACCUCCUCUCUACUAAAAAUACAAAAAUUAGCUGGGCGUGGUGGUGUGUGCCUGUAAUCCCAGUUACUCAGGAGGCUGAGGCAGAAGAAUCACUUCAGCCCAGGAGGCGGAGGUUGAAGUGAGCCGAGAUUGCGCCACUGCACUCCAGCUUAGGCAAUAGAGUGAGACUCCAUCUAAAAAAAAAAAAAAAGGAAAGAAAAAAAAAUAUAUAUAUAUAUGAUUGUGGAGACCAAAGUUCUUAUUUGCAGAUGAAGCCUUCAGGUAUUAGGCUUCAGAGAGAAUAGGUUGUAAAAUGUUUAUCGGACUUAAAGUCUAUGUUGAUGUUAAUGCCAGAGAGGUAUAAUGAGGCAUGUCUGACCCCCACUUCUUAUGGCCUGAACCAGUCUUUGAGGUUAAAUUUUAAGAGUUCCAGGCCAGGCACAGUGGCUGACACCUGUAAUCCCAACACUUUGGGAGGCAGAGGUGGGCGAAUCACUUCAGGUCAGGAGUUCGAGACCAGCCUGGCCAACAUGGUGAAACCCGGUCUCCACUAAAAAAUAUACAAAAAUUAGCCAGGCAUGGUGGUGCGCACCUGUAAUCCCAGCUACUCAGGAGGCUGAGGCAGGAGAAUCACUUGAACCUGGGAGGCAGAGGUUGCAGUGAGCAGAGAUCGCACCACUGCACUCCAGCCUGGGUGACAGAGCAAGACUCCGUCAAAAAAAAAAAAUUUUUUUUAAGAGUUCCCUGGCCGAGGAGGAAGUCCAUUUAGAUGGCUGGGGAGCCUUAUAAAUUUAUUUUUUAUUUUUGGUUUACACUUGAUAAAAACUUCAGCCGAAUUAAAUUUAAAGUUUAAUUGAGCAAUGAAUGAUUCACGAAUCACGCAGCCCCCAGAAUCACAGCAGAUUCACAGAGACUCCAGCACAGCCACGUGGUGGAAGAUUCGUAGACAAAAAAAGGUAAAUGAUGUACAGAAAUUGAAAGUAAAGUACAAAACAGCUGGAUUGGUUUCAGGUUGGUGUUUGCCGUAUUUGAACACAGUUUGAACGCUCAGCAGUAUAUGAAUAGUUGAAGUGCAGCCUCUGGGAUUGGCCAAGACGCAGCUAUUGUUACAGUUGCAUACUCCUGUUAGGUUUUCAAUCUAUCUACCUAUUAAGCUAGGUUGCAGUUCAUCCACAAGGACUCAAAUAUAAAAAUAUGAAGUCCUUCUCAGGCCAUAUUUAGUUUGCUUCAGCAACUACCCUCUUUUGGUCAUUUUCUCAAUUUUGAGAGAUUGACCAAAACUUUAGUUGUUGUCACUAUCACCAUAGUAAAUGUACUUAUUUGCUCCUGAAAUCCAGUGGGAAACAGUAGAACAAUGAGUUUUCCAAAGGUAGGAACAAAGACUGAGUAGAGGGUACCUCUUUAUGCUGGAACAUCCUGUUUACAGGAGAAAAAACCUGGUCUGUUCUAGGAUUUAUAUGUAUCCUUAGUUUGAUUAUGUCACAUUUAGCAUGAGUGACUCCAUUUUAGUUUGGUUUGUCCUGUUGGGACCUAGUGCAUGAGCUUAGUCCAAAACAAUGGCCUCCCAUAAUUGUGUUUUUUAAAAAAUUCCCCCUUUUUGGUCAGGUUCUUACUUAGGUGAGAGUGUGACCAAAACUUGGGGCCUUAGCACCACUCUCUGUUACCAUCAUUUUGUGUUUCUGGUGUCAGCACAUCGUUCAUAGGUUAUGGUAUCCUCAUGGUCACAUAUUUCUUUCAGCUCUUUCAUUCCAGUUGAAGAGAGACCAUUUGACGUUCUAGAGAUAGCUGUGUGCAAUCAUUUAAAAUCUUUGAGAGAAUACAGUGCACCAGGGAGACUAUUAUUAUGCCUAUUGGGAGCAUAAUACCAAGAGUUUGGAGUAUGCUCCUUACCCAGGGUCCCCAUAAACCAAACCACCUAAAAUUAAAUAGAUUAAAGAAUGAGUGAGAUGAAGGGUCUACUUGCUUGACUAAGUGAUCUUUUCAUUAAUCUUCUACAACUGAAUUUUUAUAAUCUACAUUUAAUGUAUUCCUCCAUAGGCCACAGCUGCCAGCAGCUGCACAGGUACUUUUCUAUUUAACUAAUUCUAUUAUUUAGCAUAACUUUCACAAGAGAAUUUAAAGUCUGUUGUGUAACGAUAGUCUUUACAGUAGAAUCUGCUAGAAAGCCUAUUAUGAGGGAUAUAUUUCUAGUUAUUGCCUAUUUUAUUCUAAACGAUGGAAAAAGGACCUAACAAAUGAUGUCCUUUUAGAAAAGUGAAGGCCCCCUGACAAUGUUCUCUUUAACCCAUGAUGUGGGUUAAGAGGAGUUUUUACUGAUUAUGAGGAAAUAUAUGUACAAUUAAAGUUUUUCACCUACAUUGGGCCUUCGUCUUGUCUUUAUCAAAGUAUAAGUUUAUUCAUGUAUAAGGCUGGCUACAAAAUCCUUCACAAAUAAAAGUAUACCUUAUAACUGAACAUAAUAGAACCCCUUUUCAUUUCUAUUAUUCAUAGAGGCAUAAACAAGGAAAAAAAUAUUCAAAGAUAAGAGUCUCAUUAUAGAAGCCUUGAUCCAUGAUCAUGGGAAAAGCUGUUCACAUCAAGGAUGCCAUCUUCUUCUGGGAAGAAACUUUCUGGGUUAGUUUUACCUUAAGGAUUCCAAUGGGUGUACAGUUCCAAGAGUGUAGAGGGACCCCUUUCAGUUGUUUAUGAACCCAAGGUUCAAGGUUCCAAAGUUUUGUUGCAGUGUAGAAGGACAGUCUUUCUCUGAUGUUCUCAGAAGAGUCAGUCUUCAGGUUCUGGAUUGUGAAGGGGUUGAUUGUCCUCAGUGAACCAUAAAAAGUUUUCUUUAUCUGGUGAAAAUAUACUCUGGCAUAAUAAUUAGCUGUUAUAACAUAAAACAUGCAUUGAAAAUGACAGUGGAAUGAAAUUCAUUUAUACAUGUUUAAAUGACCCAUCAGGUAGCCAAAUGUACCUGAAGGUUUGAUUACCUUCCCAGGAAUAUGGAACCAACCAUUGGUUUUAUUUUAUUUUAUUUUAUUUUGAGAUGGAGUCUCACUCUAUUGCCCAGGCUGGAGUGCAGGGGCAUGAUCUUGGCUCACUGCAGCCUCCACCUCCCGGGUUCAAGCGAUUCUCCUGCCUCAGCCUCCUGCGUAGCUGGGACUGUAGGCACCCGCCACCACGCCCAGCUAAUUUUUACAUUUUUAGUAGAGACAGGGUUUCACCAUAUUGGCCAGGCUGGUCUUGAACUCCUGACUUUGUGAUCCACCCACCUCAGCCUCCCAAAGUGAUGGGAUUACAGGCAUGAGCCACCAUGCCCAGCUGUGUUUUUUUUUUACAAGAAUCAUCUGCUUAUUUAUUUUACAAAGUAAUUAUUUAAAUUGAGUACAUUUGGGCACAGUAGAUAUUGGACAUGAAAAGUAUUUGUAUCAGAAUGGGCAUCAGAAAAAUAGCAACUCAUCUUACACAUAAUAACUAGAAAAUAUUAUUCUGUCUGAUCAUUUAAGUGUUACAAAUCCUGAGAAUGUUAUACACUGAACAAAUUAGGUACUACCUUAAAAUUAAAUCUUGCUUGGAAAUAAUCCUUUAAAAAUGAUCUGAGGUACAAAUCAUCUAUGUAUUAAACGUGAGUCUUUGACAUUAUACAAAGAGUUUAAACAAAUAUAUAAAUUACAGGUCAGUGGCUCUUAAAAUAGCUACCAGUCAGGUUCAAGGACACACUGUUCCGCAAUUUCCCAUAAGCUGGGGUUUUCCAUUGCAG
rnacentral:lncRNA from 1 species